rnacentral:rRNA from 1 species
AUUGAACGCUGGCGGCAGGCCUAACACAUGCAAGUCGAGCGAGCGGCGGACGGGUGAGUAAUGUCUGGGAAACUGCCUGCUGGAGGGGGAUAACUACUGGAAACGGUAGAUAAUACCGCAUACCAUCAGACUUUCCAAGAUGGGAUUGGAUAGUAGGUGAGGUAACGGCUAACAUGGGCGACGAGCCCUAGCUGGUCGGAGAGGCUGACCAGCAACACUGGAACUGGGAAACGGUCCAGACUCCUACGGGAGGCAGCAUGGGGGAAUAUUGCACAAUGGGCGAAAGCCCGAUGCAGCCAUGCCGCGUGUGGGAAGAAGGCCUUCGGGUUUUAAAGCACUUUCAGCGGGGAGGCGUUACCCGCAGAAGAAGCACCGGCUAACUCCGUGCCAGCAGCCGCGGUAAUUC